rnacentral:rRNA from 1 species
CACCAGCGCCACGAGUGGCUAUCACGAUUAUUGGGCCUAAAGCGUCCGUAGUCGGUUCUGUGCAUCUUCUGUGAAAUCGUUGCGCUUAACGUAACGGCAUGCGGAAGACACGGCCGAACUUGAGACCGGGAGGCGUGAAGGGUACUCUAGGGGGACCGGUAAAAUGGUAUAAUCCCUAGAAGACCACCUGUGGCGAAGGCGCUUCACGAGAACGGAUCUGACGAUGAGGGACGAAAGCCAGGGGAGCAAACCGG